GAUGAACGCUGGCGGCGUGCUUAACACAUGCAAGUCGAACGAAGCAUUUGCGACAGAUUUUUUCGGAAUGAAGUUGCUUAUGACUGAGUGGCGGACGGGUGAGUAACGCGUGGGUAACCUGCCUUGUACUGGGGGAUAGCAGCUGGACACGGCUGGUAAUACCGCAUAAGCGCACAAUGUUGCAUGACAUGGUGUGAAAAACUCCGGUGGUAUAAGAUGGACCCGCGUCUGAUUAGCUAGUUGGUGAGAUAACAGCCCACGAAGGCGUCGAUCAGUAGCCGAGCAGUGAGGGUGACCCGCCACAUUGGGACUGAGCCACGGCCCGGAAUCCUACGGGAGGCAGGAGUGGGUAAUAUUGCAAAAUGGAGUGAACUCUGAUGCAGCGACGCCGCGUGAGUGAAGAAGUAAUGCGUUAAGUAAAGCUCUAUCAGCAGGGAAGAUAGUGACGGUACCUGACUAAGAAGCUCCGGCUAAAUACGUG
rnacentral:rRNA from 1 species